CCUACGGGAGGCAGCAGUGGGGAAUAUUGGUCAAUGGGGGCAACCCUGAACCAGCGACGCCGCGUGAGUGAAGAAGUAUUUCGGUAUGUAAAGCUCUAUCAGCAGGGACGAUGAUGACGGUACCUGACUAAGAAGCCCCGGCUAACUACGUGCCAGCAGCCGCGGUAU
rnacentral:rRNA from 1 species